AGCGAACGCUGGCGGCAGGCUUAACACAUGCAAGUCGAGCGGGCACUUCGGUGUCAGCGGCAGACGGGUGAGUAACACGUGGGAACGUACCCUUCGGUUCGGAAUAACGCUGGGAAACUAGCGCUAAUACCGGAUACGCCCUUUUGGGGAAAGGUUUACUGCCGAAGGAUCGGCCCGCGUCUGAUUAGCUAGUUGGUGGGGUAAUGGCCUACCAAGGCGACGAUCAGUAGCUGGUCUGAGGGGAUGAUCAGCCACACUGGGACUGAGACACGGCCCAGACUCCUACGGGAGGCAGCAGUGGGGAAUAUUGGACAAUGGGAGCAAGCCUGAUCCAGCCGUGCCGCGUGAGUGAUGAAGGCCUUAGGGUUGUAAAGCUCUUUUGUCCGGGACGAUAAUGACGGUACCGGAAGAAUAAGCCCCGGCUAACUUCGUG
rnacentral:rRNA from 1 species